AGUGUGUUGGGAGGAGCAUUUUUGAAGUAUUUUCAGUUGUUGUCAUCUAAGUAUGGAGUUUGUUGUUUAUGCUUAUCAUUAUUUCUAAUUCUUGUUGUCGAGUCAUUGUAAUAUUUCCUUUAAGUAGUCGGUUAUUUCUACUUUACACGUGUUGCAAGUUUAUUAGAUUAGUUAGUUAUCCCUGCGUGGAUAUGAAGGGAAGCAAAGCACUAAGGAGGUAUUGAUGAAGAUUCUGGAAGAUUUUACUGAGAGAAUGAUGUAAUGGAGGUUGGGUCCCUCAAAGAACCCAUAGCAAAAUACCAAUGGCUCUAUUGAGCUUUUUAUCAAACAUCCCUUGUGCAUUCUCAUGUACUCAUUCACCCAGUAGUCAUUUACAUUCACUACAUUCCUCAUUACAAGCAUUUCAUAUAACCAUUUAUGUGUUCUUAUCUACUCUUUCAAUGGGAUUCAUUACAAUUGG